AACCCAUGCAUCAGAUAUUUUCUAAGUAAUUCCUUAAAUCCUUCUCAAGCUUCAUACAACAUUUCAUCCUCUAAUUGCCGAAAAUAUGUUAUGUCAUUUUUGAGCUU
rnacentral:snoRNA from 1 species